AUAUGUAAAAACUAGAUUCAAUGUCCACCGGCGAAAAAUAUAGAUCUCUUUUAAUGUCAAGCCUAUCGAUGGAUGAACAGGAAUGAGCAGUGAUUUUAUCCCGCUUCUGCCAUUCUCUGUUCCCUUUUCCUUCCGAGUUCCCUCUCUCAAGUCUCAACUCGAACCCUCUCUCUUCUCUGUGUCUCCACUUCAAGGCCCUUGCCACAGUCAGGAACCGCGAAGCACACCGAAUAGGAGGGCUUUGUCGUCCCUCGCUGUCUGAUGCUUCUUUCUCGAACAAAAACCAAAGCCCAUAGAGACAGAGAAUGUGAGGCUUCCAAAUGUAUUCCUAGGGCUCGACGGAAACCACCUCUCCACGGUUGACGGCAGCCAGCUUGACGGAAACUCUGCUCAGGGGCUUCUGAUUCUUCACCUAGGGUUCUUCACGUUCGACGGAAACCACCUUCGGAAUCUUCACCGACGACAUCUUUGCCUAGGGUUUCUUUCUCAGCACGCCAUUUCUGUCUCUCUCUGUUUUUAUUUUUUUGGUUUUGGAAGGCUUUCGAAUGUAUUUCUUGGGUUCGAUGGAAAGUACCUCUUCACAAUCGACGACAGCUAGCUCGACGAAAACUCUGCUCAGAGGCUUCGGAAUUUUUGCCGAUGGAAUCUUCGCCUAGGGUUUUGGCAGCCGUGGAGCGCGCCAAACAGUAGCCUUCCUUCAAGCAGCAGCAGCUUUCUCUCGGUUUCUCUUAUGCUUCCCUCCUUCAAACCACCAAAUAUUUUCACCCAACUCACAAGCUUGGCGAAGGUGGCUUUGGACCCGUAUAAAAGGAGAAGCUUUUGAAGGGAAUGAAGAGGACAAGGCACUUAUGGGGUUUCUUGAUGAGUUGAAAGAUCAGGUGGCAUCAGAAAGUAGCAUACCUCUGUCACCCCAGUGGCUUUUUGCCAAACCAAAUGAGUCUAAGAUGGUAUAAUUCUAUUUCUUUUUGCUUCUCUUUUGGCAACAAAGUGACAUAGACGUGCAAACAUUAUCUUAUUUUGUGUCCAUGGUGGAGGUUCUGAUAUAUAUAUAUAUAUCUACUGUAUCAAAUGGUGUUUUUUAGUAUUUGGAGCCCAGUUGGUAUCUUGACUACAAACUUGUCACUAUCUAAAUGCAACUUCUAUUUUGCCAAAAAAAAAAGAUUCUUUGAAUUUGCUUGUUAGUUGGUGUCCUAACUAAGUUGUUGGUAAUCUCUUUCAGUGUCUUAUAGGGAGUAUACAAGAGAGAACACGUAAUUACAAUUUAGGAGCUAGAAAAGUAUACAAGAAAAUCAAGAAAAUUAACCCCAAACAACAAAAAAUAAAAAAUAAAAAUUGCAAAGACCCAAAGAAAUAACAAUGGACGGAAAGAGAAACAUCUAAGCCCUUGUGACUAGCAUUCCCAGUCUUCAUGACUCCGGCCAUUCCUUUCAAGCCAAAUACACCACAUGAGGCAAAGGAAUGAUUUUCCAUAUGGCCGCCAUUUUGGGAUUACCUGAAAACCUCUCAAACAAUCUAGAAGAUCCACCACCCUUCUAGGCUUCUCGUGGGAAUUCUGUUACAGAAAAUUUGUUUUUUAAUUUUUUUUCCCCACCCAUUCAUCAUCCCUCCCUUUGGUAAGCAUACCCUUUAUAUAUGAAUUUUUCAAGGCUAAAGUGAUAGGUUGGCAUCCUGCAGCACUCUGAGGUGCAUAUGUGCCUUUCCUUGAUGUUCCUGUUAGAUGUUAGAUAUUCUCCCGAGAAUUAGAUUAUAUUUGAGUUUGGGCAUUUUUAAUAGUUGCAACCUAUAUGCAUAUAAAAAAAAAAAAAUUAUUAUUGAAACAUAGACAUUAAGGUAGCUGUCAAUUUAGAGCUAAUUUUGAUGAUUGAGUUGGUCUGGAUAUGAUCAUGGAGCACAUUCUUGACGGUAGCUCCCGUUUUGUACAUCAGUCUUUAAUUGUUUUUAAAGGGGACGGUACCCUGUAAAUUUUUACACCAAUUUUCUAUUUAAAAAACAAGAGAUAAUGGAAAACUAGCAUAAAUAGAGGUGCCUGUUUCCACUAAUAAAAGAAGUACGAGUUAAAUGGUGACCCCAACUAGACAUAUUGCUUUCAAUUAAAUUCAUGAGAAGGUGAUCUUGGGGUUUUCUUCUGGCAGAGGUUGGGGGGUUUUCUUCCGGCACUCGAGAUUCUGUCUUGGAGACGGGACUAGAAUCAAAUUCUAGCAAGAUUCUUGGAGUGGUCCUGAUGCACUAAAGGAACUAUUUCCAGAACUUUUCAGGGUCGCAGUUGCUAAGAAUGCUUCAGUGGCAGAUGUCAUGGUGAUAACAGGAGGACACAUCCAGUGGAACAUCACGUUUAGUCGGGUGGCAAAUGAUUGGGAAAUGGACAGCUAUGCAGCCUUUUUCAGUAUGUUGUACUCUAUCAAACCGAAUAACCAGCAUACCGACAUAUUGUGGUGGAUUCCUACAGGUAAAGGAGUAUUCUCGGUUCGCUCGUACUAUAAAUCCCUUUCACAUGAGCUCCCUGUUCAGUUCCCUUGGAAAAGGAUUUGGAGACACAAGGCGCCCCUCAAACCAGCUUUUUUUGUAUGGACCGCUUUUUAGGGCAAGAUCCUCACAACGGACAAUUUGAGAAAACAGAGGGUGAUUAUCGCAGAUUGGUGUUGUAUGUGUAGGAAGGGGGGUGAAUUGGUGGAUCUUCUACUGCAUUGUGGUGUGGCCAGUUGGUUAUGGAACGAGGUUUUUAGUAGAUUGGAUUUGGGAUGGGUUAUGCCCGAGACAGUAGUGGCGGUUUUGGCUAGCUGGACAGAUUUACGAGGCAAUCAAAGGAUCAAGGCUGUGUGGAAGAUGAUUCCUAUAUGCAUCAUGUGGUGCGUGUGGCAGGAGCGCAAUGAUCGGAGCUUCGAGGACAAAGAGAGAUCGAGGGAGGAACUAAUAGCUUUGUUUUUUAGAACUCUUUGUACUUGGGCCACAACUGUUAUUUUUAAUGGGCCACUCCAUGACAGCCUUGUAUCUAUACUCCCUACGUAGCUAGGGCAUACUUUUGUACUUCAUAUGGCUUUUGCCUAUUCUUUCAUUAAUACACUUGAUUACUUAUAAAAAAAAAAAAAAAAAAAUUAAAUUCAUGAGAAGGUGAGGGUGGCACCAUUUGAGAUCAAAGGGAGAGAGUGGUGCAUCAGAGGCUUUCAAAUGCACCAGUGUGAAAGAGUGAUUUAUCAAAGUGGAAAAAUAAAAAGUGGGAGAAAGGGAGGCAAAAAAUUAUUUAACUUGAAAUUAUAAGGCUGAAACACGUGGUUGUUCAAUAGAGAAUUGAGGAUAUAAUACUAGAUGGAGUUGAGUGGUAGAAAAUAAUCCAUUCAGCAGGCCCCAAUUAGUUUAUAUUGAGGCUCAUUUCCCUGUUAAAAAAAAAAAAAAAAAGUUCAUUGUGAUAUCCCAUAUGGUAAGAGGAUAAGGUAGGUAUUGUAUGGGAUCCCACACUGCUCGGUAAGGGGAAGUCCCGAUGUGGCCAUGUGGUCAUUUGUUUAUGGAAGUUAAUAUUUUAAACCUAUUGUCAAAAUCAUUGUAUAUGAUUCGCUAUAUACCAAUACUUUUGUGCAGGUAUUGUGACACGUGAUGAAAUAAUUGGCUUGUACUGGGGUUUUGUUCCCAAUGCUUUAAAAACCCUACCAAGUAGCAGGUUUGGAUUAAUAGCAGUUUCAUUUCAUACAGAAUGUAACCUUGGAUUUUUUUUCUUGUCGUGAUCGGUUAGUACAGUAGUAUAAUUUGUGCAGUCACUUUUAAAAAUUCCAACCAUGCUUCUUGCAUAAUUGAGUUGAUUCUUAAAUCUUUGGUCUCUUUCUUUUCUUUUUCUUAAGCAAACGAAUAGAAUUUUAUCAUUAUCAUUUUUCCUAAACUUUGUACAUGAUAAAUCAUUUGAGAGAUGAAUUUUUGUGGCAGUAAGGAAAUAGGAUGCCGAUUCUUUCUGUGGAAAUCAUUUUCCAUCAAGAUACCAGCUCCCUAUGUUGUUGAUUAACUAUGAUCUGUCAAGACUCUUUAGCUUGCAUUGAUACCUUGUUUGAAGGUUCUGUUUUGUUAUUCAAUCAAUUAUGCUUAUUUUGAACUCUUCCCAUUUCUUGUAGUAAUAACAUAAUUGAAGAUUCACUGAUGACUACUGCAUAAUAGGCAUGGAAAUGAUCUACCUGCAAUGUACUGAAAUGAAAUUAUUGAUAUGCUUUAGCGUUCCCAGAAGAGCAAAAGCAUCUAGUGAAACAGCUUCUGAGUUCAAGGAAAGUCCAUCAGUUCCUAUUAACUUCUAACCGACACUUGCAAUAAGCAUAAAAAUGGUCUGAAGUCCCACACCACCAAUUUAGUUUUCUUUGCGGGAACUACAUGAACCUGUUUUGUUAUGUGUUUCAUAAUUUCAUAUUUUUUUAUAUUAAUAAAAUAUAAUAGUACUCUCAACUGGGCAUACGUGCCUCAGUUUGUACA